rnacentral:rRNA from 1 species
CAGCCGCCACGGUAAUACAGAGGGUGCGAGCGUUAAUCGGAUUUACUGGGCGUAAAGCGUGCGUAGGCGGCUUCUUAAGUCGGAUGUGAAAUCCCUGAGCUUAACUUAGGAAUUGCAUUCGAUACUGGGAAGCUAGAGUAUGGGAGAGGAUGGUAGAAUUCCAGGUGUAGCGGUGAAAUGCGUAGAGAUCUGGAGGAAUACCGAUGGCGAAGGCAGCCAUCUGGCCUAAUACUGACGCUGAGGUACGAAAGCAUGGGGAGCAAACAGGAUUAGAGACCCCGGUAGUCCCUGUCUCUUAUAC